CGCCCGCAGCUCCGGCCUCGCUUCCCUUUGUCCCGCGCACGCCCCGCCCCUCGCGUCCGGAGCUUCCGCGCUCGCACUUUCAACACUCUUCUUAAUUCCUUUCAAGGCCCCAACCGACUCUCUUUAGAAAAGUGUGAAAAUUGAGGCCUAGGGAAUUUAAGUGAUUCCUUCCUGGUUACAUGGGCCAUUACUGACAGUCCCAGGGCUGAUAUCCUGCAAUUGUUGAAAGAAGAGAGCGAAGGAGAGAGUUGUAAAGGCUGUAUUAAUAUGCUAACAGCUGUAGCCCUUAGAUGAUCCUUUAGCUGGGAAAAAAGUAUGGUUGCUGCUCAGUUGGAGAGAAGUGAAAAAAUUAGGAAGUGAUACUUUUCUACCAGCAAUGAACCGCAAUAGCACCGCAUCCCAGGCUACCUCUUCCCGUCUGGCUGCCUGCCCUGGCUAUGAACAGGACUGUGAGAAUUCGCACAAGAGGAAAUACGAUGAAACAGAGCUGAAAUGACCAGACAUCUUCAUGGAGGAUUUGGAUUAAGCUGUUUUGAUGAGAAACACUUAGAAAAGAGGUUAGAGGGGACCUGAACCAAAAACCUGCCAUCUGGAGUGAUAGUGAAGAGGUCUAUGACGAGUUCAGUGUAGGACCUGCAGAGAGUAAGCAGCUUGAAGCCCAUGAGAGGAAGCAGAGCUGAAGAUUUGGGAAGCUCCCACACACAGAUGAAAAAUGUGCUUACUACCAACUUCCUGGACUGAGAUAAAAGAUCUCUUUUAUGUGUGUGAGUCACAGUUUGUUGUGAACCUGUGUGUGCCUUACCAGCAUCCGCCUCCCAACCACUCGGUGGAUUUCUGGGUUGCUGUUGGGAAACCCCUCCCAAGACAGCACCUCCUGCGUAGGCAGGAAUGUCAGUGGUGGGAGGUUUCACGCUGUGCGGCGACACAAUUUUCUUUAAGCCUGAUGGAGCGCUUCAUCCCUUCACAAAAGCAGGAUAUA